rnacentral:lncRNA from 1 species
CCUAUGGAGGUCAAUAGGUCAUCAAGAUUUUGGUGCAGGGGUUGGAAGGUGUGCUCAGGCAUCCUGCUUGUGAAGGUCGGUAGGUCACUGAGGCUUUGAUGUAGGAUCAGAAGGUAUGUUUGGGCUAUCCCACCUAUAGAGGUUAGUUGAUCACUAAGGCUUUGGCAUGGGGCUUGGAAUGCUGGGGCUAUUGGAUUUCUUGCCCAACAAAUAGAAGUGGUGCCUCUAUGGAGCCAUUGUGUGGCUCAUCUAAUGCAUAAGAGUAUUGCCCCAUGAAGCCAUUGAAUGGCUCCCAAAUGAUUUCUAUAGAUUCCAUCAUGGGUCUCUUGAAGUGCAAACUCUACUUCGAAAGGUCGGAGGCAUCAAAGAAGGGGUAG